CUUCUUCUACCACUUCUUCUUCCUCCUAGGAGUGUAUUUCUUCAUCUCUGGAGGAGUCUGAGAGAUCCAAAGUAGGCGACAGAUCAGCCAUCAAGAGAAAAAUCUAUAAGAGAGCUAGCACCCCAAUGACUUCGACAACCUCUGAUCGGACAAAGUACCUUAUAUGGAUAUCUGUUGAGGUCGGGAGCUUGCGCGGCUCAAGGAAUCUCGUCAAUCCAUG
rnacentral:lncRNA from 1 species